rnacentral:rRNA from 1 species
UACCAGCACCCCGAGUGGUCGGGACGAUUAUUGGGCGUAAAGAGCUCGUAGGCGGUUUGUCGCGUCUGCCGUGAAAGUCCGGGGCUCAACUCCGGAUCUGCGGUGGGUACGGGCAGACUAGAGUGAUGUAGGGGAGACUGGAAUUCCUGGUGUAGCGGUGAAAUGCGCAGAUAUCAGGAGGAACACCGGUGGCGAAGGCGGGUCUCUGGGCCGAUACUGACGCUGAGGAGCGAAAGCGUGGGGAGCGAACAGG